GCAGACACAUUCCAGCCAAUCAGCAGCAGACCCUCUGUCCCAGACCCUCCCACCUCAUGGACAGCUUACUAAGAAUGCAGCUUCACAAUGGAUGCUGUCCAGGAGGUGGGAGGGUCUAGGAGGGAGGGUCUGCUGCUGAUUGGCUGGAAUGUGUCUG